rnacentral:lncRNA from 1 species
AAGCUUGUAUCCAGUCCCGAUCCUGAGUUUCACACAUGGUGACUUUGCCGUGUCGUAUGAAGUCUGGAUCUCGCUUUGCUGAUACCUAUGCUUCACAAAACUUGGCUCGCUGUCAAUCAAUGUCUCGAUCUUCAACUUCAGGCACUUCGACGUGGUUCCGGGGCUGUCAUGGAGUAUCUCCAACAAGCAAAAAUAAUUGCUGAUAACCUUGAUGCCAUUGGCAGGCUGUUGCAAUUUGAGGAGUAUCAGACUUAUAAAUUUGUGGACAGCUUACCAAUGGCACAAGACCGGGUCCAUCUAAUAAUUUCUCUCUGGAUCUCAUCAAAACUUGUCGGAUACAAGUAUUUUCAUUGGAUGGGAUGGAGUUCUGAGAAGUUCAAGCAAUUUUACUUGUUUCUGUUACACUCUUAUUUAGAAGGUGGCUAAAGUUCUGGUUACUGAGUAUACAAAUCAGGAGAACUGAAGGCAUAUGAAUGGAUUUCUAGCUUUCGUUACCGAUAAUUCCGAGGUUUCACUAAUCCUCUGCUUUUCCGUUGUUACUCCCAAGCAUUUUUUGAUUAAAUGCCAGAAUCAUUAUGAGGAGCUGCACCUAGAAACCUUGUUUAAAAAAAAAAAAAGCUUGCGCAUAUAUGUGGGAUGGAUCUCUCAUGAAAUAUACACAUUUUCAUGUAGGUACUCCUUGGAUAAGCAAACUGGCACAUACAACAAGAUCCAAAAUGUUGCAUCUGUGGGAAGCUGAAGGCAUAUGUGCAGUUUAGAUCAGUGUAAUCAGUGUUGAGAAAGUAGUUUUGAUGCAUAAGACCUCUCAGAGAUAAUUGUAUUGGUGAUGUGUGUAGCAGGAGUUUAAAGAAAAUUUAUGCAAAAAUAAUCUGACAUUUUAUGAAUUUUUUUUCACCAUGUUUUCCUUCUGAUGGAACACUGUGAAUAAGUUUGCGCUGUGUCAAUGUUAUCUGCCA